UGAAAAUUCUGAAAGGAAGUGAUAUAUUGUAUAACUGUAUACAAUAUGGCGGGUGUCUGUUUGUUUGUAGAUCGGUUUUAGAUAUACGAUCGUGGGCAGCUGACCUUUAUUAUGCUUCUCUCAUUUGUAUCCUUUUAUCCGCUUCGACUUUAUAUGUGUAGUAAAUGAGAUUGGUGCUUUCUCAGAAUUUUACUAUAAUUUG
rnacentral:misc_RNA from 1 species